rnacentral:misc_RNA from 1 species
AACGCAUCUUGCGCUCCUUGGCAUUCCGAGGAGCAUGCCUGUUUGAGUGUCGUGAAAUACUCUCAACAUCAAUCUUUGUUGAUUUGAUGUUGGACGUGGAUGUUGUUGUGGAUAACACGACUCAUCCUAAAUGCAUUAGCGAUCCCGUCCUGAUCACCCAAUGUGAUAAACAAAAGCAUUGCCGGAGGAUCGAAGUCGAGGAUCGCUUCCAGCCGUCGAAAGACAAAACAUAUAUGUCAUCUGACCUCAAAUCAGGUAGGACUACCCGCUGAACUUAA